ACAUUCAUUUAUUUUCAGGCUAGGUCUCACUGUCAGACAAAGGUUUGGCUUAGCACAAAACCAAAAAACGCAGAACUUAUUGGGGCUGACCACUGUACACGGGGUCCGGGAUACUGGUGUCAAAAUGAAGAAACAGCCAAUGAAUGUGGAUUUGAAAUCAAAAAUUUCUGCAAAGAUCUCUGGGAUCAACACAGAUUCAAGAAAAGUCCACCCGAAGAAGAGUUUGUUAAAAAGGUGAGACCAGGAGCAUCAACUGGUAUGAACCCAUCAUUCCAAAACCCAGGUAAGACUCGGCCGAACUAAUUGCAAAGUUAUUAAUUGGAUGAUUAUUACACUUUGAAAGUGGUUCAAGAUCUGAUUGAAAUUAGUUGCUGCAGUUUAUUGAUAAAGAAAAUUAUAUUGUGAAUUAUAUUAUGAAUUACUUUUACCAGAAUGUUAAAAAUAAAGAUAAUCUUAGUUUGUGAUUUCA